AUGCACGCUGGCGGCGUGCCUAAUACCUGCAAGUCGCGCGAACGGACGAGAAGCUUGCUUCUCUGAUGUUAGCGGCGGACGGGUGAGUAACACGUGGAUAACCUACCUAUAAGACUGGGAUAACUUCGGGAAACCGGAGCUAAUACCGGAUAAUAUUUUGAACCGCAUGGUUCAAAAGUAAAAGACGGUCUUGCUGUCACUUAUAGAUGGAUCCGCGCUGCAUUAGCUAGUUGGUAAGGUAACGGCUUACCAAGGCAACGAUGCAUAGCCGACCUGAGAGGGUGAUCGGCCACACUGGAACUGAGACACGGUCCAGACUCCUACGGGAGGCAGCAGUAGGGAAUCUUCCGCAAUGGGCGAAAGCCUGACGGAGCAACGCCGCGUGAGUGAUGAAGGUCUUCGGAUCGUAAAACUCUGUUAUUAGGGAAGAACAUAUGUGUAAGUAACUGUGCACAUCUUGACGGUACCUAAUCAGAAAGCCACGGCUAACUACGUG
rnacentral:rRNA from 1 species